rnacentral:lncRNA from 1 species
AGAACAAAUAAAAGUAUAUAACAUUUUGGAAUGUUAUCUAAAAGGAAUAGGAAGAUUUAAUUUCUUUUAUUUUUUAAAAUAAAAAAUAUAAAAUGUAUUCAUUAGUUACAAGCACUAAGGGAGUAUCAACCGGUAUACAAAAGAUAUUUACUGGUAAAUAAAGACUUCGAUGAGGUUAUCAAAAUUCUCCAUAGUGUAUAAGUAAUUACCUAUAACCAAAAAACCCAAAAGUUAAUACCACUAUCUCUAACCCUAUCAAACUCCCUCAUCCUCCCCAUCAAAAGUCCUUCUACUUCUUUCAUUCCAUACAAGCCAAAAAGUUGUAAGAGGAAUGAGAUCUACAUGUUUUUCCAUGCCCAAAUAUCAUCUCUUAGACUCCCCACUAUUACCCAGCUGAAGACCAAAAUUCCAUAUACCAUGCACCAUAACUUAGACACUAAGGGGCACCAAGUAAAGUACGAUCACGUCUCCUAAGCCCUCUUAUAUAGCUAGCACUCAUUUACCAAAAUUUUGCCCAUUUAAUCAACUUAUCGAUGGUCAAAAUAUUCCCACAACCUGCUUCCCAAGCAGAGAAAGCGAUUCUAGGAGUGUUUACUUUCAAUAUCUGCCAUGAUGGGAAUUUACCAUCCACAACAUCAUUCUUAACCAAAUGUUUAUAGAAAGACCCAACCGUAAAUAACCCAUUCUGAUUGAGUGUCCAAAUUGGUUAAUCAUCACUCUCCACCAGAACCACAGAAGACAAAGCUUCCAAAAGGUAUUCAUACUCACAAACUUCCCAAUCAUUCAGAUUCCUUAAAAACUCCACACGCCACUCUCUCCCACCCCAAUCACUCUAGACACUUCCUUCACUUAAAUUAUUUUUGUGCCUUGUGAUUGUACAAUGUGAUUCCUCACCUAGCAUGGAUUCGUCCAAAAGCUAAUUUUCUUCCUAUUAUCCGCCCCUAUCUAAUACACUUUUGAAAAUUUGUUCUCCUCAUACAAUUCUUUUCCACACAUCUACCUCGUACGGUCUUGAGACACUUCUAGGAAAACAAUCCCUUUCCAUUUUACCAAACUUAGCUCCAAUAACUCUGCAUAAAAAAAAGUCUCAUUCUUUAUAAACCUCUAAAUCCGCUUAUCCUCUAGCUCCUUAUUCAAUUUAAUUAUUGAUUUCAGCCCCAACCCUCCUUGAUGCGAGGGUCUUUUGAGAACAUCCCAUGCCAACAAGUGAUAUCUCCUUCGUUCCUCCAAAUUACCUCAUAGAAAUUGGCAUUGAAUUACUUCUAGUUUCUUUGCAAUUUUCGCCAGAAAUAUUAAAAGAGAUAUAUAACACACAGGCAAGUCAGAAAGCAUGCUUUUGAUAAGAGUGAGGUGCCUCCUUUGGAUAGCAAAUUCCUCUUCCAGCCUGCCAACCUUUUCUCGAAGUUGGCCACAAUUGGGUCUCAUAUCCUCACAUCUUCAUAUUUUGCUCCCAAGGGCAUACCCAAGUAUUUGAUAG